UAACUGUGGAAGCAGCAACAUUUCUGGAUGUUUGAUUUGUUAACUAUUUUCUAAAUUAAGAUUUUUUUUAUCUUUCAGGAACCAUGGAUGCAUUGGGAACUUAAUACCAUCUUAUUCAUUAGUGUGACUGGAAGAAAAAGGAGCAGAAUCUAAAUGUCUCCAAGCACAUCACUGAAAGAUUACAAAGGCUGUGGUGAAUGAACACAUGGAACUGCCCUCAGGAGAAAGGGAUCAAGACUGCACAUCAAACCUUAAGCAUUUCCCUACAGAAAAAUGAAGUCCUGGAUUAAACAGUAAACCUCAUUCCCAUACAUAAUAAAAUAGAGAUGCAGCAGAGCUUCUGGGCCUUUUAGAUCUUCCUCUAGCAAGUACCCUACUUUCAUGUGAAGGAUCACAUGAAGAAGAAAGGAAUUGAAACAAAAGGAACUGACAGGUGCAGUAACAAAAAGUGCACAAUAAAGGAGACAGACAGGCUGCUGAGGCUGUUAUUUUUUUUUUGA
rnacentral:lncRNA from 1 species